CAGAAAUCCUGAGAAAUCCAGCACUCCUGGAACAAUGUGAAGACUAUAGCUAAAGUGUUUGGCCAGCAGAUAAGCAAAAAUGUUCAGCAGUAGGCUGAGGACUGUGAUGGGAACUUUGCCCAGCUGAGAAGCCAAAGCAAGAUAAGUAAUCCAGCAAAACAUGAGCAGGGAACAACGGAAAACAACAAAACACCAAAGCACCAGAACAGUCUGCUGGCUUCCACCACUCC
rnacentral:lncRNA from 1 species